rnacentral:rRNA from 1 species
AUGGCGACCGGCGCACGGGUGAGUAACACGUAUCCAACCUGCCGAUGACUCGGGGAUAGCCUUUCGAAAGAAGGAUUAAUACCCGAUGGCAUAGUUCUUCCGCAUGGUGGAACUAUUAAAGAAUUUCGGUCAUCGAUGGGGAUGCGUUCCAUUAGGUUGUUGGCGGGUAACGGCCCACCAAGCCUUCGAUGGAUAGGGGUUCUGAGAGGAAGGUCCCCCACAUUGGAACUGAGACACGGUCCAAACUCCUACGGGAGGCAGCAUG